rnacentral:rRNA from 1 species
UACGUAGGGUGCGAGCGUUAAUCGGAAUUACUGGGCGUAAAGGGUGCGCAGGCGGAAGUUUAAGUUAGGAGUGAAACCCCCGGGCUCAACCUGGGGAGUGCUUUUAAGACUGGACAUCUAGAGUUUGUCAGAGGGGGGUGGAAUUCCAAGUGUAGCAGUGAAAUGCGUAGAGAUUUGGAGGAACACCGAUGGCGAAGGCAGCCCCCUGGGAUAGAACUGACGCUGAGGCACGAAAGCGUGGGUAGCAAACAGG